rnacentral:misc_RNA from 1 species
ACUCAUUGAUAUGAUCUUAGAAACCAAAUCUGCAAAAUCUGAUCCAUCUGUGUGAUUAUCUGAUGCCCUGAAAAUGGCUCUAGAUACUCCAGAGAAGUGGAUGUUGUACUUGACAAACAGCUCACUGAUUGCUUUCAGGGCUUUCAGUGAUUCAUGAUGUGAGCUAGAAAGAAUUCCAAGAAGAAAGGAUGAUAAUGCUUUUGGAUCCGAUGUCAAAUGCUUGAGAACUGUCUGUGUAGAAAGGACUGCACAAGAACCUAGCACUGCAUUCUCUGGUGUUUUGGGGUUCUGUAAGUUUUCAGCAAGAGAUAGCACACACUUUGAAAUCAUAGAUGGCCAUCUCUUAAUCAUCUUCAGCAGCGAUUUUCCAGCAAGUGCACGAACAGUCUCAUAGCUAUGCAGAGAGAGGCUCAGUAGAUCUUCCAUUAAAAGAACUGCAUGGUCUGAAGGAGAAAAAUUCCCACUUGUACGAAACAGAUGAUAUGAUGAUUGUGACGACCUCCAUGUGCUAUGCAUGUAUGCCUUGUCAAUAAGAGCCCACCUAGGCCUUUUCUUUCCUUUAGAAUGAGAUGACACAAUGAAAUUUAUUGGAGGCUCUAUAAUGGCAGCAGAUUCCAACUUCCAAGCCUGCCUGUGAUUUGACCACUCAUCAUACUCCAAACUUCCGUAAUUGCCCAAUGCAUCCGUGAUACGGAUAAUAAGUAUCAAUAGGAUGCUGUCAUCUGAUUUUUCCUCUAACACGUACUUGCAAGCUGUGUGAAUAAUCAUAGCAGCUUUUUCACGAAGUUCAAUGCUUCCAACAGUUGAACCUGUUGCUCCAGCUAUCAAGAAAGAAGUAUGACUUGGCUCUUCAACAAUCCCAUUCCUGGAGGAUGGGCUGAAAUCAGGUAAGCAAGAUAAAACACCUUGCAAUGAAGAAUCAAU